UGCGUAGGCGGAGGAUUAAGUCAGUGGUGAAAUCUCACAGCUCAACUGUGAAACUGCCAUUGAAACUGAUUUUCUUGAAUACGGUUGAGGUAGGCGGAAUACGUUAUGUAGCGGUGAAAUGCUUAGAUAUAACGUAGAACACCGAUUGCGAAGGCAGCUUACUAAACCGUUAUUGACGCUGAGGCACGAAAGCGUGGGGAGCGAACAGGAUUAGAUACCCUGGUAGUCC
rnacentral:rRNA from 1 species